rnacentral:lncRNA from 1 species
UUCACAUUAUCUAUUAUGCCUUUUGAUCUUUACACAAACAGGCUGUUUCUUUUCUCCUCAGCUUUGAAGAAGAAGGACUCUGAGAGCCACCCCUUGAUCAACAGAGGCAAAGAGGUGAAAAAAGCUUCCCUAGUGAUGGCAAGGCUUGCAUGUCGCUGUGAGAGACCCAAGAUCUGAGUAUUUCUUCUUCCAGUAUCAUGUGCCUUUUAUAUGUCUCACUGUCUCAAUCCAGCUGGUGGAAUGUGGAAUACUCAUCUGAGGAGUAUCGGGAGUUGGCGAUGCCUUUGGAAGAGACAAAAGAAAUAGUAGGCGAAUCAUUGGCCAUGGUGGCAUAUGCCUGUAAUCCCAGCACUCAGGAGGCUGAGGCAGGAAGAUCACUGAGUUUGAGACCAGCCUGGGCUACGUAAUGAGUUCCAGGUCAGUCUCACCUACAUAAUGAGAUCCUGUCUCAAAAAACAAACAAACAAACAAAAAACCAAAAAAGCAAACAAUAACAACAACAAAGAAAUGGUAGGUGA